UCCCAGCGCUGGCCGCCGUCAGCCUGGUGGCGUUGAGGCCGACCAGGGACGGGAGAGUCUGGGACAUCCAGUUGCUGAUCAUGGCCAUCGUACUCAGGACGAUCCCGAUCUUUAGCAGAGAAUUCACAGUGCUCGCAGUUGCCAUGGCUACAGCGCCCAGUCUGCCUGCUAGUGCAGAUUACAGCCAUCUCUCAACCAGAUACUGCAGCCCCGAACCUCCCCAACCAGCGCCCAGUACUGGCGAGGAGCGGCAGGGCUCGGAUAUGGAGCGGCUUACGUCUGGGAUUCCUCACAGUGACAAUACAGUGGUUUCAAACUCGGGGCACCUCCAUCGCACACGACCUCUCAUGGUCCCAGAACAGAUUCUACACCGUCAGGAAAGCGGCGCUUUCUGAGGCGGCCGGAGGGAGUCCUCCCACUCAUGGAGUUCCGACGAUCUGCAGUAGGGAGCGCCCCAAUAACCUGCAUCACUGUUUGGUACGGAAGCUGCCCUAUGGUGGACAAAACUGCCCAACUGGCACCACAUGACCCGGCGUCAAGGACAGUUGUGCAAGAUGCCGGAAAAGGGCCGCUAACAUCGUGAAGGAUCCCACCCACCCUGCUCAUGGACUGUGUGUCCCACUCCCGUCAGGGAGGAGGCUUCAAAAACAGUUACUGUUCCCCAAGCAGGAAGGCUGAUCAACACCCCAAACACUGCUACUUUAUCACUUCCUGUCAGUCACCAUAUGUUCAGACACUCUUGUGCCUAGCGUCACUUUAUGGACACACAACCAAUCUAUGCAUCCUUACAAACUUACACUGGUCCAAGACUUUGUUGGCUCAACCUCUGCGAAUACCUCUGUGGAGAAGGAGUUAACUGCACCAAGUUCCUGUGAGUUCACAACAUGGAUGACCCCACAUGGUCCCUCAAUAUCACCUCCAUGAACAAGAAGGCAGAGCAGUGCCUUCACUUCCUAAGAAGAUUGAGGCAAACAAGGCUCCCCCCCCCCCACCACCCCACCUUAACCGCGUUUUACAGGUGCACCAUUGAGAGCAUCCAGACAAGUCACAUCUCCAUCAAGUAUGGGAGCAGUUGAACAUCGGACCAGAAGACCAUAAGAGAUAGGAAUAGAAUUGGUCCAUUCAGCCCAUCAAGUCUGCUCUGCCAUCCCAUCAUAGCUGAUCCUGAAUUCACUCAACCCCAUACAACUGGCUUCUCAUCAUAUCCUUUGAUGUCCUGACCGAGCUGGAAGCAAUCAACUUCCGCCUUAAGUAUACUCGUGGACCUGACCUCCACUGCUGUCUGUGGCAGAGCAUUCCAUAGGAAACAUCCCCUCCACAUCCACCCUACCUAGUCCUUUCAACAUUCGGUGGGUUUCAAUGAGAUCCCCCCGCUGCAUUCUUCUAAAUUCCAGUGAGUACAGGCCUAAAGUUGCCAUACGCUCCUCAUAUGUUAACCCCUUCAUUCCCGGAUUAUAUCCUUACCUUCAUAAGUUAUUGUGCGAUAUGUGUGUUACGUGUACUACCGUGCUUUACAGCCUGGUUCGGAGAAAGUUUGUCCCAUUUCUAUACAUUAUAUGGUUAUAUACGUUAUAUACAUGUGUAUAAUUAACUAACAAUAAACUUGU